CUUUGAAGCUCAAUUUUUCUUUCAUAGCUACUCUGAGUUUCCUAUGUUUAGAAUACUUAAUUGUUGAUUUUGAGCUGUAUUUAAAUGCAUGCUUUAAUAACAGAACACUGAAUCACCUAAUAAGACAGUGAUCAUAUUGAUGAAAGAAUGCUUCCGCUUUCCUAUUGAAGGAAUGCUUUGAGAAAAAAAUGGUAUGAAAGAACUUGUGACUUUGAGUUAGAAAACCAGUUGAUGUAUGCUGCAUCUUUCUCUUCGUCACACAGACAAGGGCCCAGCUACAGACUUAUACAGCUAUACACAAAAGAUUCCUAAGCCCCUGAACAAGUCCACUGCAGUUUGUAGCACAUGCGUUAUACUGGGUUGGAUAACUAUUCUCAAGGUAAGUUAAAUACCAUGAGAAAACACUUUUCCCAGUUUUAUUGGUAUUAAAUAGUGUGACAAGCAUUGCUUGUUAAGGACCUGUAAUAUUUGGGAUGCCUGGGUGGCUCAGUGAUUGGGCAUCUGCCUUUGGCUCAGGGUGUGAUCUUGGGAUCUGGGAUCGAGUCCCACAUUGGACUCCCUGCGAGGUGCCUGCCUAUGUCUCUGUGUCUCUCAUAAAUAAGUAAAUAAAUCUUUUUUUUUAAAGGACCUAUUAUAUUUGGCACUGGUUGAUACAUCAGGGCUAUAUUAUAGGUCUUUAACUUUAGUUUGGCAUUUCAGAUUUGAAUCUUCUUGGUAUCUUUCCUCUUUUUUCAACAUCUCAAGUUGAAUGUAAUUUCAGAAAACUCUCAUAGCUUAUUUCAGUUCUAAAAUUAAACAUAUAUCCUUUGCUUUUCAAGGUAUCAAGGCUGAAUUUAUAUGAAGUAAAUUGAUUCCAUUAAUUGUAAGUCAUAAAUGUAUUUUUUCUCUACUUGACUUACUAUUUUAUAAACUGUUGUGUUAAUGUCACUAGCUAAAAGUGCUGAUUCAUUUCUCCCUGAAGUUCUAUUAGUUUAUCUUAUUUAAUCUUCAUUGCUGAAUUUCUAUAUUUAAAAUGUCUAUAUAUUUUUGCUCU
rnacentral:lncRNA from 1 species